AGAGUUUGAUCAUGGCUCAGAUUGAACGCUGGCGGCAGGCCUAACACAUGCAAGUCGAACGGUAACAGGAAGCAGCUUGCUGCUUCGCUGACGAGUGGCGGACGGGUGAGUAAUGUCUGGGAAACUGCCUGAUGGAGGGGGAUAACUACUGGAAACGGUAGCUAAUACCGCAUAAUGUCGCAAGACCAAAGAGGGGGACCUUCGGGCCUCUUACCAUCGGAUGUGCCCAGAUGGGAUUAGCUUGUUGGUGGGGUAACGGCUCACCAAGGCGACGAUCCCUAGCUGGUCUGAGAGGAUGACCAGCCACACUGGAACUGAGACACGGUCCAGACUCCUACGGGAGGCAGCAGUGGGGAAUAUUGCACAAUGGGCGCAAGCCUGAUGCAGCCAUGCCGCGUGUAUGAAGAAGGCCUUCGGGUUGUAAAGUACUUUCAGCGGGGAGGAAGGGAGUAAAGUUAAUACCUUUGCUCAUUGACGUUAUCCGCAGAAGAAGCACCGGCUAACUCCGUGCCAGCAGCCGCGGUAAUACGGAGGGUGCAAGCGUUAAUCGGAAUUACUGGGCGUAAAGCGCACGCAGGCGGUUUGUUAAGUCAGAUGUGAAAUCCCCGGGCUCAACCUGGGAACUGCAUCUGAUACUGGCAAGCUUGAGUCUCGUAGAGGGGGGUAGAAUUCCAGGUGUAGCGGUGAAAUGCGUAGAGAUCUGGAGGAAUACCGGUGGCGAAGGCGGCCCCCUGGACGAAGACUGACGCUCAGGUGCGAAAGCGUGGGGAGCAAACAGGAUUAGAUACCCUGGUAGUCCACGCCGUAAACGAUGUCGACUUGGAGGUUGUGCCCUUGAGGCAUGGCUUCCGGAGCUAACGCGUUAAGUCGACCGCCUGGGGAGUACGGCCGCAAGGUUAAAACUCAAAUGAAUUGACGGGGGCCCGCACAAGCGGUGGAGCAUGUGGUUUAAUUCGAUGCAACGCGAAGAACCUUACCUGGUCUUGACAUCCACGGAAGUUUUCAGAGAUGAGAAUGUGCCUUCGGGAACCGUGAGACAGGUGCUGCAUGGCUGUCGUCAGCUCGUGUUGUGAAAUGUUGGGUUAAGUCCCGCAACGAGCGCAACCCUUAUCCUUUGUUGCCAGCGGUCCGGCCGGGAACUCAAAGGAGACUGCCAGUGAUAAACUGGAGGAAGGUGGGGAUGACGUCAAGUCAUCAUGGCCCUUACGACCAGGGCUACACACGUGCUACAAUGGCGCAUACAAAGAGAAGCGACCUCGCGAGAGCAAGCGGACCUCAUAAAGUGCGUCGUAGUCCGGAUUGGAGUCUGCAACUCGACUCCAUGAAGUCGGAAUCGCUAGUAAUCGUGGAUCAGAAUGCCACGGUGAAUACGUUCCCGGGCCUUGUACACACCGCCCGUCACACCAUGGGAGUGGGUUGCAAAAGAAGUAGGUAGCUUAACCUUCGGGAGGGCGCUUACCACUUUGUGAUUCAUGACUGGGGUGAAGUCGUAACAAGGUAACCGUAGGGGAACCUGCGGUUGGAUCACCU
rnacentral:rRNA from 1 species